UGUUUCUUGCUUGCUAGUAUCAGCGUUUGAAGUGCCUGCAUCUAUUAAUGGCAUCAUACAGCAAGUGCAUGUAUUCAGCACACCUCAACCCUAUGUGACACUGAUCUGGCACUGGAAAGAUUGGAGAUCCCAUGCAGACCCAACUAUAAUCUCUUGCUUUUGCUUUUGCUUUUGCUUUUGCGUUGACGAUGAUGAGUUCCGUGCCUGCCUGCGGUAUAAUUAUAAGCAUCUGUGUGGAUACCCAAUUGCCUGGAAGAAAUGCAGAAUAUGCAGAGACCAGUGGCAUGUGGUGAAAUGAAAUAAGGGGCCUCGUGGUGAAUGGACCAAGGGGGACAAGGAAUGUGAUCGCGAACGGACCAAGGGGGCCCCGCUACCUACCUUGCACCGGGCCCUGCAUCAGCUAAGGACAGCCCUGUUUCUCAAGCUCUUCAGUGAACAAGUAGCCAACAAUAACUCUAAGGAAAAAAAAUAAAUAAAUAAAACUUUAUUAGGAGCACAGGUGUUUAGUUUUGUGGAAAUGAUGCCACAACUUAAAUAAAUAUAUAGAUUAAUUAAAUUAUUGGCAUAGCAGUCUGUUGUACAGAAAACAUUGUAAAAAUAGCACUCAGAAGUAUCAAUCACUUGUGAUUGUUGUAUGCAGGAUGUAUCCAGCGGUCAUUGAAUGGACAGUGGGCGGUCUACGUGCAUGGCUGUGACUUGUGGCUGAGCAAAAAUUAUGUACAUUUAAUUAUUUAACAGAGCCUUUCAAUUCAGUAUUCUUCCUCAGGGCCCUAAUACCUGAAGACAGGAUUUGGUUACAAAUCACCGCUGUCACGCUCAAGUCUUGAUUUACCGACACAUCACAGCCACAUCUCCAUUCUCUCCAUCAUCUCAGAGCAUGAUGUAAUUUCCUCUCUUGUCACUGGUGGACCUUCAACUCUAACUGCACCCACUUCUGUAUCACUUCAGGGCCAGAUAUAUUAUUCCCCCACAACCCUUUCUCACAGGGCAAAACUAAAUUCAGAGAGAUUAAAGACUUGUCUUUGGGAUUUUUGAUAGGUGAAUGUGUAUAAAACUCAAGGUUAGACCUGAAGCUUUGCAUGCUUGGACAAACCACCUCUCUCCAGAUUCUCUUGCUGAGGUUUUGAGAAGGAAAAAAAAAAUAUAUGAAAACAUUUUUGGGGCCAGUGAUGCAUGGCCAUCUGAAUUAGGGUUGUAAUAUAACGCUGCUCAUAAAUGUGAGAUGGCAUUGAGGAGGCGGACGCUGCCAGCAGCUCCACCAUUAGGACUCAUUUUCCACUCUUAAUAGCACAGGCACCUUGUUUAAUAAGCAUGGAUUACAGGUCAUAAAGGGCAAUGGAGCACUGAAUGCCGGUGAUCUGGUGAAAACACUGAAUAAUAUCGCCUGCCCUCACCUGGUCACUGGUGAAGAGAUGACGACAGUACCAGUGAUGGGCCAUUUAUUGUAUAUGGAUCUAAGGAAUCUUCAUAUUGGUUCAGGGUUUUUUACAGACAGUAUACACCCUUGGAUUACAAGACUGUACACCCUUUCGACUGUAUUACUUGUGACAUAAAAGCAUAAAAAUGUCAUAAAUUAAGUGUCAUAAAUUACAUUUUUACACUAAAAUACAGAACACCGAUCUCCAUCCAAUUUAAGUUUUAUCAAAACUGUGCAGGGACCCCCAAGGGAUCACAAUGGGGUGAUUUGGGGUCCAAAGAAAAAAAACGAAAAAAAAAAAAAAGUUUAAACCUGCAUCUGUCUGCUUUCUUUGGACUAAUCAGGCAUCAUGAGAUUAACUGACAACACCAGUUUCUACCACUAAGAAAAACAAAACAAAAACUUAAUAUAAAGUAUAAU